GUCUGAGGCCAUACCACCGUGAACGCGCCCAAUCUCAUCUAAUCUCGGAAGCUAAGCAGAGUCGUGCCUGGUUUACUUUGAUGGAAGACACAUCUUCAGAAGAGACUGCUCAGAGA
rnacentral:rRNA from 1 species